AUUGAACGCUGGCGGCAUGCCUUACACAUGCAAGUCGAACGGUAACAGGUCUUCGGAUGCUGACGAGUGGCGAACGGGUGAGUAACACAUCGGAACGUGCCUAGUAGUGGGGGAUAACUACUCGAAAGAGUGGCUAAUACCGCCUGAGAUCUACGGAUAAAAGCAGGGGAUCGCAAGACCUUGUGCUACUAGAGCGGCCGAUGGCAGAUUAGGUAGUUGGUGGGAUAAAAGCUUACCAAGCCGACGAUCUGUAGCUGGUCUGAGAGGACGAUCAGCCACACUGGGACUGAGACACGGCCCAGACUCCUACGGGAGGCAGCAGUGGGGAAUUUUGGACAAUGGGCGCAAGCCUGAUCCAGCAAUGCCGCGUGCAGGAUGAAGGCCUUCGGGUUGUAAACUGCUUUUGUACGGAACGAAAAGCCCUGGGUUAAUACCCUGGGGUCAUGACGGUACCGUAAGAAUAAGCACCGGCUAACUACGUGCCAGCCGCCGCAGUAAAAC
rnacentral:rRNA from 1 species